rnacentral:misc_RNA from 1 species
UGGCAGGAUCAACCAGGUAGCAUUCCGUGUCGACUUUUGGCAUUGCAUGGACAGAACCAACACAACACCAAAUGUCAUUCGCACAUAGCGUGGGACGCUUUUUAGGGGCAAAUAGAGACAUAUGAUGCCUCGUACCGAUGAGGUACUCCGCGACCGAGAGAACGAGCGUGGUGUCAUUGAUCCAGCAACCCAACAACAUUGAAGCCGUGGGAGUUGGAGCAUGACAUCUAGCUUCGAAGUUCCCCUCCUACCACAAACCCGAGAGCUUGCACUGGAAGGCGAAUAGGGUCAAUAAUCCAUCGAAUUCCCGCACUUUGGGCAUGUAACACAAGAAACCAAUCUCGGCCAAGAUUUCUCAAACUCUUGAACCAAUUACUGAAAAGGCAUGCCGAAUACAUUUUCGC